GUAACAAGGUCUCCGUAGGUGAACCUGCGGAGGGAUCAUUACACAAAUAUGAAGGCGGGCUGGAACCUCUCGGGGUUACAGCCUUGCUGAAUUAUUCACCCUUGUCUUUUGCGUACUUCUUGUUUCCUUGGUGGGUUCGCCCACCACUAGGACAAACAUAAACCUUUUGUAAUUGCAAUCAGCGUCAGUAACAAAUUAAUAAUUACAACUUUCAACAACGGAUCUCUUGGUUCUGGCAUCGAUGAAGAACGCAGCGAAAUGCGAUAAGUAGUGUGAAUUGCAGAAUUCAGUGAAUCAUCGAAUCUUUGAACGCACAUUGCGCCCUUUGGUAUUCCAAAGGGCAUGCCUGUUCGAGCGUCAUUUGUACCCUCAAGCUUUGCUUGGUGUUGGGCGUCUUGUCUCUAGCUUUGCUGGAGACUCGCCUUAAAGUAAUUGGCAGCCGGCCUACUGGUUUCGGAGCGCAGCACAAGUCGCACUCUCUAUCAGCAAAGGUCUAGCAUCCAUUAA
rnacentral:rRNA from 1 species